CCUACGGGUGGCAGCAGUGAGGAAUAUUGGUCAAUGGGCGCGAGCCUGAACCAGCCAAGUAGCGUGAAGGAUGACUGCCCUACGGGUUGUAAACUUCUUUUAUAAAGGAAUAAAGUGAGGCACGUGUGCCUUUUUGUAUGUAUUUUAUGAAUAAGGAUCGGCUAACUCCGUGCCAGCAGCCGCGGUAAUACGGAGGAUCCGAGCGUUAUCCGGAUUUAUUGGGUUUAAAGGGAGCGUAGAUGGGUUGUUAAGUCAGUUGUGAAAGUUUGCGGCUCAACCGUAAAAUUGCAAUUGAUACUGGCAGCCUUGAGUACAGUUGAGGUAGGUGGAAUUCGUGGUGUAGCGGUGAAAUGCGUAGAUAUCAGGAGGAACACCGGUGGCGAAGGCGGCCUGCUGGACUGCAACUGACGUUGAGGCCCGAAAGCGUGGGGAGCAAACAGGAUUAGAUACCCCGGUAGUC
rnacentral:rRNA from 1 species